rnacentral:RNase_P_RNA from 1 species
UCAGACGGCCGGGCGAUCGCGGUUCCUUCGGGGGUCGAGGAAAGUCCGGGCUCCACGGCGACAAGGCGGCGGGUAACGCCCGCCCGGGGUGACCCGAGGGACAGCGCCACAGAAAGCAAACCUCCUCCGCUGCGGCGGCGGGAAGGGUGAAAGGGUGGGGUAAGAGCCCACCGCGGACCUGGUGACAGGGACGGCAUGGCAAGCCCCGCCUGGAGCAAGACCGAAUAGGGAUUCCGCGCCCCGCGAGGGGCAGGGCCGUCGCCGGCCCGAGGCGUCCGGGUUGGUCGCGAGAACCGGUCAGCAAUGGCCGGUCCAGAGGAAUGAUCGUCGCGCGUCUUCGGGCGCGUCACAGAACCCGGCUUACAGGCCGUCUGAUCCG